rnacentral:rRNA from 1 species
AUGGAAUUGGAGGCGGUCGCCGACGGAGGGCCGGCGACGGCGGCCGAGGCGACGCUGACGCCGACGGGCGUGGUGCGGGUGGAGAAGGUGAGGGGAAGGUCGGCGGUCACCCGGUGCUUCGCCAAGUAUCCGCUCAAGAUCAUCGUCCCCUCCAAGGUGGGCCCCGCCUCCUCCGGCGCCGUCUGGCUCUACGUCCUCACCUACGGCGGCGGCAUCGUCUCCGGGGAUAAGAUCUCCUGCGCGGUGACAGUCGGUGACGGGUGCAUGGCGGCGAUGACGACGCAGGCGUCCACCAAGGUUUACAAGGCUGUGGGUUCAAAAUGUUCUGAGCAGGUACUAGAGGCAACAGUUGGAAAAGAUGCACUGCUUGCGGUUAUUCCAGAUCCCGUAACCUGCUUCUCAACCGCUCGAUACUACCAAAAGCAAGUGUUUCACGUAUCUGGGGAUUCAAACUUGGUCAUUGUAGAUUGGUUUACAAGUGGCCGGUAUGAGAGUGGAGAAAAAUGGGACUUCAACUCCUACAAGAGUGUUAACCACAUUCUUUUGGAAGAGUAUCAGCCUCUGUUUAUUGACUCGGUUCUACUGGAACAAGGCUCAAAUUGUACUAUUGCUGAGCGGAUGCAGGAAUAUAACGUCGUUGCGAUGGUUGUAUUAUCGGGGCCAAAGUUGAAGCAGAUACAAGAUCAGAUGCAAGACGAAGUAAAGAACAUGAUGUCUGUACAACUGCGUCCUCCCACCUCUGGUGGAGGCCGCUACGCCGCAAGGCCACAGGCCGUACAACCCCAGAGGCCCCCGCUCGUUGCCUCUUGCAGUCCAUUCGGUCGCACGGGGACUGGCAUGGUCGCUCGGAUAGUGGCGGUGAGCACCGAGUCAGUAUACACCUUCCUCAGACGUCAUCUGGCAGCGCUUGAACCGUUCCUUGGCGUUGCCCCUUAUUCUUCGUCAUGA